CUCGCGCUGACCUUGACUGCAAUAGUUCAAGUAAUUCGAAUAUCAUGCGUCAAAGAUUCCCUACCCACCCCUGUCCACCUGUACCCUCACCAAUUUACCCUGCAAAUCCUAACCAUAUCCCUGCACCACCCCUGUUUCAUCACAGAUUCCCCCAACAGUAUUUUCAAAGACUUCCCGGAAAUACUUCAAAUAUUUUACCCCAUCAUUAUCAUGGUUCCUUCAAGUUCUGAGAAAGAAUGGUCAUUUGAACAAACGAGACGGGAAAUAGUGAACAAUAAAUCGUGUGGUUUGGGUGUGUGGCAUUGUUCGCUUUUGUUGACACAUUGUGGGUCCCCU